UUCUGGUUCAAAAUGGACUGUUUUUCAGGAUUUCAGUGAAGAGAAAAAAAAGUGUUUAAAUAUUUUCAGGAGAGGUAAUUUCACUUCUUCAGCGGCGCCGUGGUGCGCGCUCUGCGAGAGCCGGAAUGUGAAUAACAUUUAUACGACAAAUUAUGUUGGAUUUAUAAGAGAGGCGACAAAGGCUGAUGUUCACCAGCUUGCACAGUCAUGAAGAAGGAAGUCGGCAAAAAUAGCUGGAAUUAUACUCAACAAUAAUUUUUGCCUGGGGCCAGGUUUGAACCCACCACCUUCGGUACCUGGGGCCGGUGCCCAACUCCUUUGAGCCACAGGCGCUCCCCUGAGAUGACAAUUUCUGAGAACCCCAAGGUGCUCCCCCAUGAUUCAGUGAACAGCACGCCUGGUACUAGUGCUCAAAAGGAGGCGUUUAAAGCCAGUAAGGGGUGGUUGGAGAACUUUAAGAAAAGGACCGGGAUCCCUUGUGUUGUUAUGCACGGAGAAGUUGCCAGUUCUAAUUUGGAAGCAGCAGAAAAGUUUGUAAACAGUGAGGGGUAUGUUUUGAACCGAGUGUUCAAUUGUGAUGAAACAGGCCUUUAUGUUUUUAGGUGUUUAUAUUUUUAAUUUUAUUAAUUUACAAUUUAUUCAAAUAUUAUUUGUUAAUAUUUUACCUUAAAAUCUGGUGUAUUUACUGUUAAAAUCAUUUUGAAAAUUCAAGUUUUGGGGACCUAGAAACAGAUUAAUCCAGUUUCUAUUAUUUUCAAAGGGAAAAUUAUCUUGGAACUCAAAUGGGGUUCUGUAACAGA